rnacentral:rRNA from 1 species
GCAUAUCAAUAAGCGGAGGAAAAGAAAAUAACAAUGAUUCCUCUAGUAACUGCGAGUGAAGAGGGAAAAGCUCAAAUUUUAAAUCUGUUAGGUUUACCUAACCGAGUUGUAAUUUGAAGAAGCGUUUUCUGCGAAUUUGGUUAGUCCAAAUCCUUUGGAAUAAGGUAUCAUGGAGGGUGAGAGUCCCGUUCGGUUAACCAAAGCGCUUUACGAUACGCUUUCAAAGAGUCAAGUUGUUUGGGAUUGCAGCUUAAAAUGGGAGGUAAAUUUCUCCUAAGGCUAAAUAUUGGCGAGAGACCGAUAGCGAACAAGUACCGUGAGGGAAAGAUGAAAAGAACUUUGAAAAGAGAGUUAAACAGUACGUGAAAUUGUUGAAAGGGAAACGAUUAAAGUCAGUCGUACCUACGAGUGAUCAACCUACUCGAGUGCGAUUUUGUGGGUAUGUUAGAGCUUAGAAACCUUCAUGCUUACAAAUUGGUGCUCUUUGGGCGUACUUUCUCGUAUGGUAGGUUAACAUCAAUUUCGAUCGUUAUAAAAUGACUGGAGGAAUGUAGCUUCGACCUCGGUUGAAGUGUUAUAGCCUUUGGUAGAUGUAAUGAUUGGGAUUGAGGAUUGCAACGGAUACCCUCUGGGCUAUUCGUCUGAUCUCUGGAAGUUACCUUGGUGUCGAAAGCGUGCUUACGAUAUUAAGGUUGACGGCCAAUAGGUUAGAACGUGAUUAAAUUCGUUAAGGAUGUUGACGUAAUGGCUUUAAACGAC